GUAGCAGCUGAAGAUGCUGUGUAUGGCAGAGGUUUAAGGACAAACAAAACUCAGGCUGCCUAGCACGGAAGGCAUCAGUACCUCUAUAGAACAGAGUCCCUCCCUGCCUGCCUCCUUAAGAGCUCCCCCAAGAGUCUACAACCUUCACCUGGUCCUGAGAGGCUGGCUCAGGAAACUGCUGAAAAAGCGAUUACAAGCAUCAUCCAUCACAGAAUGGAUUUAAAACUUUUCUCCUAGAAAAAUGAGUCUGAAGCAUACAGUGCUGACUUCCCAUGCCUACAUGGUUUUCUGGCUAGUCUUGCAGACUUGCUUUUCUAGGUGACCCUAAAUUAAUUGCAAGCCAGAACAAGGGAAACAACACAGUUCAUUUAGAAAAAGGCACAAAAGACCAGCUCAGAGCCACUGAGCUCUGUACACUCCUCUCUCUCACUGGCAGACAGUGGGGGAGUGGACACUGGGAAGCCCUAAGCAGCUGUGGUUUUAAGAGAGAGGUAGCUAUGCCCGUGUCCUGAAUCCACAGCCUCUGGUUUUGGAAGGCUUUCUUGAUACCUUGAAAGGAGUGGGCUUACAUACUUGAUUGUGCCCAAUAGAGAGAAGGUGUGGGAAGAUCAUGGGCCGUCUGCAAGUCCUAUCUGCUUCACUCUGCUAAGCAGGAAAGGGAAGGGCACUGUACCACAUUCACAGCCUUGCCCACCUUACUUAUGCCCUAGGAUAGACACAGCAUGGGUGGAAGGACAAAGGGAGGGCAGGAGGGAAGGAAGGACUAUUCCGGGUGCAGAACUGCCCACAUGACAAAGCCUCCUUCUGUUAGUAAUUGUAUUUGUUUUAGAUUACCUGUUAACUAUCGGGAGCAAUUUUAUCUUUAGAGUAACGGCUGCAGUUCUCAUAUUGGAAGGCCCAUAGCUGAUGUCUGCACAUAACACUCGAAGCCAAACCCCAGAGCAGGAAUAGUCAAAGGGAAAGCAGCUAUAUUCCAACGAAGUACUAGGAAGGAGUCAGAGCCAGAGAGAGCUGGCCAGGCCAGCAGGCAGCAUGUUGGGGGUGGAGAUGAGAUUGAGGGAUCAGGAACACUGAGAGAAAGUGGAGGGAGAAGAGCCACAGAAUCUGUCACCAUGAAAGGAGCAUGCCCCCUGCUCCCUGAUCUUCUAAACUCACCCACAGGGAGGACCAGAAACACCUGGGGCUGCGAUAGCUGUUAUCGCAGCCAUCUCCAGCAUUGCCCUGCACGGUUGCAGGGGAGCCCUGGUGUUUCAGCCUGGGUAGAGCAAUUUCACAACCAUGUUCUAACAGUGGCAGAAGGACUGGGGACCACGGGUCAACUUGAACCUCAUGUCUUUUUUGAGAGAUUAAGAACAUCCAUUUCUUUAACUGAAAUGUGAGCUAUGGGUCUCUGGCCAUGGUAGGGAAAGCAAUAAAUCCUGAAUGCUGAGCAGUCAGACUCUCUGGCUGGCUGGGUGCUUCCAACAACCUCUUUACAUUACAUGGGUAAUAUAUACUCAAGGAAUGAAACAGAGAAAACACACACUCACAUGCGCGUGCGCACGCACACACGCGCACACACACACACACACACAUACACACACACACACACACUAAUAAAAUAACACCUCUAUUCAGCAAAAAACAGUUAAAACUUUGUUCUGUUUCCAUUCAAGCUUUUGUGUGUUGGGGCCAUGUGUUUGUAUAUGGUAUGCACAUAUGUGUAUAUGUAUGCUCAUGUGUAGGAGCAUACAUAUAUGUAUAUGACAGAACAUGGGGUGAGAGACAGUUGAUGCCUGGUAUCUUCCUCAAUUCCUUUUCACUUUAGGGAGGCACAGUCCAUCACUGACCCCACACCUUUCCUACUCUUACUGGUCUAGCUAGCUGGCUUGGCCUGUGUCCAUCACCCACGUGCUAGCCCUACAGGUAGCUGCCACGCCUACAGGCUUUGACCUAUGUUCAGAACUCAAACGCUAACACUUCCAUGGUAAGCACUGUUUGUUCUGAGCAACUCCCCCAGCCCCUCCAUUCUGGCCUUUUCAUAUCUCUACAUAUUGAUCACAACUAGUAGGAAUUAUGUUCUGUGCACUUAAAAUAAUGUGAGGACGCGUAGGCAACUGAAUAGACUUUGAAAACAUAGUCUUCAUGGCCGCGGCAUGGGGAAUAGCAUUUUAUAAUCACCCUGCUACUGUUUGUGGUAUUUCAAGUAGUGUGCAAUAUUCAACUAAGCUAAAUAAGGCAGGUGACUAUUUCGUUGUAAAAGUUUUAUUGUGGUCUCAGAUUUCAUGGAAACCCUUAGCGGGUGACUGGAGCAAAGGGCACAAACAUUUACUUUCAGAAGGUUAUACCCGUCAAUCUCUCUCCAGUUGUCUGGAAACACAUUUGUUCCUCGACACGCACACCCUUAUUGACAGCAGAUAUUUAAGUUGCUUUACCCAGUUUCUGGACCUCUCAGAGCCCUACCUUGCUAGGGGAGGCUUUUCAUUUGCAUUUCUAUGAUUACGGGUGAGGUUCAGUGUUUUGUGUUUCUUUGCCUUUCGUAUUUCUUCAGCAGCUGGCUGACUGGAGGCCAUACAGCCCCUCUCCAUUUGAUGUUAAUGUUUCCGUAUUGAUUUAUGACUGCUUUUAGUAUAAUAAGGAUGGAUUGGCAGGUAGAUAGCAUGUGUCCUGAUUUGGCAAUUCUGUGAUGGUGUUUGACACACACGGCACACUAAUGGAUGUGUGGUCAAUUGUAUCACUCUCUCCCUGUAUGAUGCCUUCCACCUCCGGUGCGGCGUCACUGUCCUUCAGCGUGGGAUCAACCGCAGCUCCAGGACUUGCCAUCAGUGUCUCCAUUUCCGAGAUUGAAUAUGGAGGAUAAUGAGAGUACAUUUAAUGUGCAGACAUGGGAGGUGGCAGGCAGUCUCAGAGACACUUCCAAUGGCUCUGUCUUCUGAUAUUCACACAUCAGUUCCAACUGGGGAGAACCAGUUAUCAUGGAGUAAUCUUAGAAGCUGAUCUCUCUGGUGGCAGCUAAAGAUGACACAGAAACACUCAGGAAAGUUGGGCCGGGACUCCUGAUUUGAGGAGGGGGGAGUAUGAAAAACAUGCAAAGAUACAAAUGUAUGAAAGUAUCAUAAUCAAGCCCAUUCUUUAUUUUUGAUUUUUGUCUUCCUUGGCCCACAGAAACUGAAAAAAAAAAGCAAAUAUUUGUUUUUGAUGGCUAUGUCUGAGGCCAUUUGUUAUAUAGUAGGAAAUAACUAAUGUGUUAUACAGAGGUGCCUCCUUAAUGGUUUAAAUGGAUGAUGGCUUAUUUCUCAGUGUGGUUAUUGGAACAUUAAGUGCAUUUUCAAUUUACAGGGGUUUGGGGAUACAACCCCACUGUAAGUCAGGGAAUAUCUAUACAUGAAUGCAUAUGACUGCAGCUAUGGUAGAUUACAGAGGGUUGGGAAGGAAGGCUUAUCGCUCUGUCCAUGAAAAGAAAACAAUGUAAUCCUUCUCCACCUCUGAAACUGGGCUUGACUGUGGGACUUGCUGUGGCCAAGGGAGCAGUAUCAAAGAUGAGGCAGAAGCCAGGAAGCCACCUACACAGGAACUCACUGUCAUAGAACUGUGCCACUACUUCAGGAAGGAACCAAGCCUGCUGGAUAAGACUACAUGACCUGCAAUCCCUUCCAGCUGACCACCUAUCAAUCCUAUGAGGAGGCCCUCGGCAGCAGGCUCAGCAGCUUAUGAAAGGCCUAGAUAAAAGAAACAUGUGUCCAUGACCACACUAAUCUUCCACGCUAAAUGUCCCCGUGAGUGUGUGUCAGGGAAAGCCACAAAGCUCUUGGCUGGUGUGUUACACAGAAUUUAGCAACUGGUGUCACUGUGACUGUUACCGUUCUGAUUAUGGGUGUGGGAACAGUUCAGUGGUUCUGAUUAUGGGUGUGGGAACAGUUCAGUGGCCAAGACUGUCUCUUAGAAGUAUGCUCCAGGUUGCCCUGUUGACCCAUCCACUGGAAAAUCAGUCAGGUAAAUGACAAUAGGUGAGCUUCUAACGUAGUGUUCCAUUUUCUUUUUCCAUAAUCCCCGAGACUUUGUUUCAGGAUGCCGCUUCUACUGAUCACUUCUAUCAAUACAAAAGCAAAUCAUGGUCCGUCACCAUGACAACUGUUUUAAUUUUUUUCCAGAAUAAUGUUAUCUGAUCCUCUUCUUAGAGACAUGCUCACAAUUACCUGUGGGAGCAAUGAGGCUUCCAAUGAAGGGCUUCAAAGAAGGAUGCUGGUAACAUCGCUAGCUAGAUGGACAAACGGACAGUCAAUGGAGAUGACUCCAUGGCAGUUGCUUGCCUACAAUCAACCAAACCUCUAAGUCACUUGGCAGCCAACUUCCCCAAGGUCAUUCCGAGUGCAGCCCCAAGUGGGGAUGGCGGGCACGUGUGAAGGCAUGGUACCACGCUCUACAGCUUCUGUGAGAAAGAGCAUCAUAGGAAAAAAAAAAACCCUCAAAAGCACCACUUAAAGCUCAACAUGAACCAAAUGACUAAGACCCAAGCAACAGACAGCAUGGAAGAAGUUACAGUCACUGCAGGCCAAUUGCAGAAGGAUCUUUUGGGGGGAGGGGCAGUGUCCAGAUUCUGAAGAAUAAGCGUCAGCACAGAGCAGAUGGGUUCAGGAGCAGGAAGCAGGACCAAGUUCUGUGGGGUUAUCAGUUUUUGAAUAGAAGUUUUGUCUUUGUAAAGAAAGGAACUGUCUAAGUUAGGGUUUUACUCCUGUGAGCAGACACCAUGACCAAGGCAACUCUUACAAGGACAACAUUUAAUUGGGGCUGGCUUACAGGUUCAGAGGUUCAGUCCAUUAUCAUCAAGGCGGGAGUAUGGCAGCAUCCAGGCAGGCAGGCAUGGUGCAGGAAGAGCUGAGAGUUCUACAUCUUCAUCUGAAGGCUGCUAGCAGAAUACUUACUGCCAGACAGCUAGGACUAGGGUAUUAAAGGCCACACCCACAGUGACAUACAUACUCCAAGUAGGCCACACCUUCUAAUAGUGCCACUCCCUGGCCCAAGCAUGUAGAAACCAUCACAGGAACUCACCCUUUUGUUGAAGUCCUCAGCAUACCACUGACGUUGCCAUAGUGACUGAGACAGGUCUUUUACUCAGUCUACCAACCCAGAUGCUCACUUUUUUCAGGCAGCACCACCACAGGUACUUCUGCAUACAGUCUUUCCAGCCAGAACAGCAUCCCUUAGCUGGAGCCAGUCACUACCUUACAUUAGCUAUUAUAGAACCUUAGAUUCCACAGGAAAGGGCCAAUCCUACGCAUACCUAAGCCCUGAUCCAAUUCCUUUAACUCUUCUACCAGAUUUGAAGCUUCUAAUCCAUUUCAGAAGUGUUAUGCCAGCUCCUAGGACUCCUUCCCCAUCCAACUUCUCCCAGCUCAGUGUCAAACAAUCAUAGUUAUGAGUACACUCUUACAAAAAUGGUGAAGCAAAAUAAAGAUCCCUGCUCUGCUUAAUGCAGUCCUCUUCUUGUUCAUGCUCUUGUUCAGAGGAGGGCAUCACUGACUCUUCAGGAAAGCACCCUUUUAUUUGGUGCAGUAGUAGCUUGGCUGGGUUUGAUUUUUGAUAGUUUUUGUCGUUAUGUUGGUCUUCUCCAAGGUGAUGAGAUGCAGCUGGAUGCACAGCUUGUUCAGAGCUGGCAAGUGCUGAAUUCAUGAGCAUCCACCUUCUGUUCUCACACUAUCUCAGGUACAGAGCUAUAAUGACUACAGUUUCCAGUGUGACCUGGCUGGCUGCAAGGGAUAUGUGCUGAUUCCGUCCCAGUCUACUCAGUAGAACACUAUAAAUGCCACCACAGCCAGCCAAAGCACAUCACUAAGCCUUCUAGUCCCAGUCCCAGACCCUCUGGUCAACCCAGCCUUCUCCUAAGAACAUAGUCUCAUAACAGAGCAAGAAAUGGUGGGAAGGAAUAAGAAUCUGGCCGUAGGCAGUAGUGGUGUGUUGUGUCACAAAAGGUCUAGUAUGACAUGGUGAUGGUGGUGGUGAAACAACAGAAUGUCAUCUUGCCUUGGGGACAGAUGCUUUCCCCUAGGAGCUGAAGUGAACUGGAGAUAAAAAUCGGCUUCCUCAAGAGGACGUCUGAUGGCCGAGUAAGUCCUGUGCUUGGAGCCACCAGGAGACCCACCAUCUCAAUGACAAUGCAGCCUCCUCUUGGGCAUGACCCCUGCUGGCCCAAGUGUACGUGAGCUAGGCCUGCAAGGUGGUGCCACUUACACAGAACAACAGACAUUCCAACCAUAAGAAUCCUUCACAUUAUCACAUAGCUCUAAAAUGUGUGGCUUCUGGCCCCAUUGAAGCAAGUGUUUUUCAGUAUAAUGAAGAAAUUCUGGCUA